AACGAACGCUGGCGGCAUGCCUAAUACAUGCAAGUCGAACGGAGAUUGUAGCAAUACAUUCUUAGUGGCGAACGGGUGAGUAACGCGUUGGUAACCUGCCCCAAAGAGAGGGAUAACAAUUCGAAAGAGUUGCUAAUACCCCAUGUGAUCAUUAGCAUUAGAUGGCUGAUGAUUAAACGGAUUUAUUCGCUUUGGGAGGGGCCUGCGUCCCAUCAGCUAGUUGGUAGGGUAAUGGCCUACCAAGGCUAUGACGGGUAGGGGACCUGAGAGAGCGACCGGCCACACUGGGACUGAGACACGGCCCAGACUCCUACGGGAGGCAGCAGUGGGGAAUAUUGCACAAUGGGCGAAAGCCUGAUGCAGCGACGCCGCGUGAGGGAUGACGGCCUCGGUUGUAACGUACUUCUACGUCACGGAAGGAAGACGGAAAGGUAGGAACGGGUAACCGUUACGGCGACGAAGAAAGGACGAACCGGACCGUAACCUAACCGUACGCCGACGCACGCCGCCGGUAACCGAACUAACUACCGUACUACG
rnacentral:rRNA from 1 species